rnacentral:rRNA from 1 species
UACGAAGGGGGCUAGCGUUGUUCGGAAUUACUGGGCGUAAAGGGCGCGUAAGCUGUGCUGUAAGUCAGGCGUGAAAUCCCCGGGCUCAACCUGGGAAUUGCGUUUGAUACUGCGGCGCUGGAAUGCAGGAGAGGAUGGCGGAAUUCCCAGUGUAGAGGUGAAAUUCGUAGAUAUUGGGAAGAACACCGGUGGCGAAGGCGGCUCUCUGGACCGAUACUGACGCUGAGGCGCGAAAGCGUGGGGAGCAAACAGG